AUUUAUUAUCCACUUUCCUUCGAUUUCUCUGGGAUCCCAUGAUCAGAACCAGGUUUCGUUUUCAUGGUACCACGCCAGGGAUAUUUCCUUCCCAACAAAAAAAAAUUAUUAAAAUCGGUUCAUAAACGACGAAGUUAUCCUAGCACAUACAUAAAAU